UACGGAGGGUGCAAGCGUUAUCCGGAUUCACUGGGUUUAAAGGGAGCGUAGGUGGGCUGGUAAGUCAGUGGUGAAAUCUCCGGGCUUAACCCGGAAACUGCCGUUGAUACUAUCAGUCUUGAAUAUUGUGGAGGUAAGCGGAAUAUGUCAUGUAGCGGUGAAAUGCUUAGAUAUGACAUAGAACACCGAUAGCGAAGGCAGCUUGCUACACAAUGAUUGACACUGAGGCUCGAAAGCUAGGGGAGCAAACAGG
rnacentral:rRNA from 1 species